rnacentral:sRNA from 1 species
GGAUGCAGAGACCAACACCAGCACCAGAGCAUGAAGGCCAUGCUUUUUUUUUUUUCUGCUAUCAGCCCCUCCCGAUGAAUAAAAGAAUCAGAAGCCACUGCAGACUCUGGAAUUGAACAAAGGGAGACAAAGGCACAGAAAACUUCGGAUCAGUCUUCCUCACGGAAGAUCCAUCAGAAGGCAUCAAUGCACACGAAAGAAAACAUCGCUACUGUGCCCCCUUCUCCUCCUGCUACUUUCUGCAAGUUCAGGAGGAAGAUCAAGGUUAGUUAAAAUGCUGGAAGACAGUAGCUUUCAAGAGGAGGUGUGGCCCGACGUAAGACUUUGAAGUCUUUUUAAUAACUGAGAAGCAGAAGAGAACACUAUCUUCUGAUAUUAGGAAAUUAUAUGCUUUGUAUUUUAGGGCUGUCAUCAAAAGAAAAAUAGAAUGUAAAAAUUUCAGUGUAUCUGAGAAAGAAGUAUGAAGUAAUUUAUUUAAACGAAUUAGUCCAACUUUCUAAUCCAAGUGUACAAUAGAGAGCUUCGAGUAACUACUACAUCCCAGGGUAAGGCAUUUUGGUGACU